CAGUCGCCGCGGUAAUACGAAGGGUGCAAGCGUUAAUCGGAAUUACUGGGCGUAAAGCGUGCGUAGGCGGUGAGUUAAGUCUGCUGUGAAAUCCCCGGGCUCAACCUGGGAAUGGCAGUGGAUACUGGCUCGCUAGAGUGUGUCAGAGGAUGGUGGAAUUCUCGGUGUAGCGGUGAAAUGCGUAGAGAUCGGGAGGAACAUCAGUGGCGAAGGCGGCCAUCUGGGACAACACUGACGCUGAGGCACGAAAGCGUGGGGAGCAAACAGGAUUAGAUACCCCGGUAGUCCCUGUCUCUUAUAC
rnacentral:rRNA from 1 species